UACAGAGGUCUCAAGCGUUGUUCGGAUUCAUUGGGCGUAAAGGGUGCGUAGGCGGCGCGGUAAGUCGGGUGUGAAAUCUUGGAGCUUAACUCCUAAACUGCACUGGAUACUGCUCUGCUGGAGGACUGGAGAGGAGACUGGAAUUCACGGUGUAGCAGUGAAAUGCGUAGAUAUCGUGAGGAAGACCAGUGGCGAAGGCGGGUCUCUGGACAGUUCCUGACGCUGAGGCACGAAGGUCAGGGGAGCAAACGGG
rnacentral:rRNA from 1 species